AUUGAACGCUGGCGGCAGGCCUAACACAUGCAAGUCGAGCGGAUGAAGGGAGCUUGCUCCUGGAUUCAGCGGCGGACGGGUGAGUAAUGCCUAGGAAUCUGCCUGGUAGUGGGGGAUAACGUCCGGAAACGGGCGCUAAUACCGCAUACGUCUUGAGGGAGAAGGUGGGGGUUCUUCGGACCUCACGCUAUCAGAUGAGCCUAGGUCGGAUUAGCUAGUUGGUGGGGUAAAGGCCUACCAAGGCGACGUACCGUAACUGGUCUGAGAGGAUGAUCAGGCACCCUGGAACUGGGACACGGUCCGGCUUCCUCCGGGAGGCGGCAGUGGGGAAUAUUGGACAUUGGGCGAAGGCCUGAUCCAGCAAUGCCGCGUGUGUGAAGAAGGUCUUCGGAUUGUAAAGCCCUUUAAGUUGGGAGGAAGGGCAGUAAGUUAAUAACUUGCUGUUUUGACGUUACCAACAGAAUAAGCACCGGCUAACUUCGUG
rnacentral:rRNA from 1 species